UACGUAGGGUCCGAGCGUUGUCCGGAAUUAUUGGGCGUAAAGAGCUCGUAGGCGGUUUGUCGCGUCUGCUGUGAAAUCCCGAGGCUCAACCUCGGGCCUGCAGUGGGUACGGGCAGACUUGAGUGCGGUAGGGGAGAAUGGAAUUCCUGGCGUAGCGGUGGAAUGCGCAGAUAUCAGGAGGAACACCGAUGGCGAAGGCAGUCCUCUGGGCCGUAACUGACGCUGAGGAGCGAAAGCGUGGGGAGCGAACAGG
rnacentral:rRNA from 1 species